rnacentral:rRNA from 1 species
UACGGAGGAUGCAAGCGUUAUCCGGAAUCAUUGGGCGUAAAGCGUCCGCAGGUGGCAGUUCAAGUCUGCUGUCAAAGACUGGGGCUUAACCCUAGAAAGGCAGUGGAAACUGAACAGCUAGAGUAUGGUAGGGGCAGAGGGAAUUCCUGGUGUGGCGGUGAAAUGCGUAGAGAUCAGGAAGAACAUCGGUGGCGAAGGCGCUCUGCUGGACCAUAACUGACACUCAGGGACGAAAGCUAGGGGAGCGAAUGGG